rnacentral:misc_RNA from 1 species
UACGGAGGGUGCAAGCGUUAAUCGGAAUUACUGGGCGUAAAGCGCGCGCAGGUGGCCUGAUAAGCCGGUUGUGAAAGCCCCGGGCUCAACCUGGGAACGGCAUCCGGAACUGUCAAGCUAGAGUGCAGGAGAGGAAGGUAGAAUUCCCGGUGUAGCGGUGAAAUGCGUAGAGAUCGGGAGGAAAACCAGUGGCGAAGGCGGGCUUCUGGACUGACACUGACACUGAGGUGCGAAAGCGUGGGUAGCCAACGGG